CCUACGGGUGGCAGCAGUCGAGAAUCAUUCACAAUGGGGGAAACCCUGAUGGUGCGACGCCGCGUGGGGGAAUGAAGGUCUUCGGAUUGUAAACCCCUGUCAUGUGGGAGCAAAUUAAAAAGAUAGUACCACAAGAGGAAGAGACGGCUAACUCUGUGCCAGCAGCCGCGGUAAUACAGAGGUCUCAAGCGUUGUUCGGAAUCACUGGGCGUAAAGCGUGCGUAGGCUGUUUCGUAAGUCGUGUGUGAAAGGCGCGGGCUCAACCCGCGGACGGCACAUGAUACUGCGAGACUAGAGUAAGGGAGGGGGAACCGGAAUUCUCGGGGUAGCAGUGAAAUGCGUAGAGAUCGAGAGGAACACUCGUGGCGAAGGCGGGUUCCUGGACAUUAACUGACGCUGAGGCACGAAGGCCAGGGGAGCGAAAGGGAUUAGAUACCCGAGUAGUC
rnacentral:rRNA from 1 species